GCAUCAAUGGGGUAGUGGUAACCUGGGUCGUUGCCAUAGUAAGUAAAUACGACAGCCUCGACCCGCCGGGGGUUCGAUUCCCUCUUGAUGCA